rnacentral:rRNA from 1 species
AGUGAACGCUGGCGGUAGGCCUAACACAUGCAAGUCGAACGGCAGCACAGAGGAGCUUGCUCCUUGGGUGGCGAGUGGCGGACGGGUGAGGAAUACAUCGGAAUCUACUCUGUCGUGGGGGAUAACGUAGGGAAACUUACGCUAAUACCGCAUACGACCUACGGGUGAAAGCAGGGGACCUUCGGGCCUUGCACGAUUGAAUGAGCCGAUGUCGGAUUAGCUAGUUGGCGGGGUAAAGGCCCACCAAGGCGACGAUCCGUAGCUGGUCUGAGAGGAUGAUCAGCCGCACUGGAGCUGGGACACGGGCAAGACUCCUACGGGAGGCAGCAGUGGGGAAUAUUGGACAAUGGGCGCAAGCCUGAUCCAGCCAUACCGCGUGGGUGAAGAAGGCCUUCGGGUUGUAAAGCCCUUUUGUUGGGAAAGAAAUCCAGCUGGCUAAUACCCGGUUGGGAUGACGGUACCCAUAGAAUAAGCACCGGCUAACUUCCUGCCAGCCGCCGCGGUAA